UACGUAGGGGGCAAGCGUUGUCCGGAAUCAUUGGGCGUAAAGAGCGUGUAGGCGGCUUGGUAAGUCCGCUGUGAAAGUCCAGGGCUCAACCCUGGAAUGCCGGUGGAAACUGUCAAGCUUGAGUCCGGAAGAGGCGAGUGGAAUUCCUGGUGUAGCGGUGAAAUGCGCAGAUAUCAGGAGGAACACCAAUGGCGAAGGCAGCUCGCUGGGACGGUACUGACGCUGAGACGCGAAAGCGUGGGGAGCAAACAAG
rnacentral:rRNA from 1 species